AUUGAACGCUGGCGGCAUGCCUAACACAUGCAAGUCGAACGGCAGCACGGCAGUAGCAAUACUGUGGGUGGCGAGUGGCGGACGGGUGAGGAAUACGUCGGAAUCUGCCCAGUCGUGAGGGAUAACUAGCCGAAAGGUUAGCUAAUACCGCAUACGACCGAGAGGUGAAAGCGGGGGACCGCAAGGCCUCGCGCGAUUGGAUGAGCCGACGUCGGAUUAGCUAGUUGGUGGGUAAAGGCCACCAAGGCGACGAUCCGUAGCUGGUCUGAGAGGAUGAUCAGCCACACUGGAACUGAGACACGGUCCAGACUCCUACGGGAGGCAGCAGUGGGGAAUAUUGGACAAU
rnacentral:rRNA from 1 species